ACAGCCCUGUCAUACCUCUUUCUACACAUGCCUAUUUGUUAAAUGUGUCCCUCUAGGCUAGUCUGCUAGGAUUUCAGGUUAAAGAAUAUGUCCCUCAUUUCUUCUUCCUGGGUGAUUGUUGUAUGAAAGCAAAAGAGAGGUCUUCAUAAGAGGAAAGGUGGAGGGAAUGUGUCCACAGCCAUUAUAAGCUGCACCUGACCAGGAAGAAUUUCGGAAAAUAUACUUUACAAACUUAGAAUUAUGUGUGGGAAGUCUAUUUGUGGGGGUCAUAUCAACAAUAGAGUACAGAUAAAGUGUCACCAGAGGUGUGAGUGACAACCACAUCAAAAUGGACAGUAAAGCAUAUGGUGUAUCCCUAGUGCUAACUUCUUGCUAUAGGAAAGCUGAAGUCUGUGUGAAGUCCUCAAACAAUCUAAGAUGGGGAGAAAAGGAGACCACUUUGAAGUCACAUUGGAGUAAUUUUCUGAAAAUGGUUGUAAUGGAAGUUAACCACGUCAGAUGUACUUUUUUAAACUAGAGUAUCACCUCUACCUGAUGACACACAUCAGGUAAUGUAUACAGUUAAAUACUGAGAGCCUACCUGUGGACCAUCCACACUGAGAUGGAUUAUCUAGGACCAGCUGAUAUCAUCUUGCUUACCUAUGCCAAGAGAAUUUACUUUCUAUCCUGAGUGUUUCAAAAUAUCAUCAAUCUCCAUAGAACCAAGGAACAGAUUCUGAAGGUCUGAUGUCAUAAUCCUUAUACAUGAGAGUCUUGGAAUAGGCAGAGCAUACUGAUGUACUGAGCCAACAAAGUCAGCAGGGAGAACAGUCUUCAAGUUGACCCUGGGGUCCUCUGUAAAUGAAACCAGGGGAAUACAGGAUCCUCCUUGAGUUAGCUACCUCCAGUCUGCUCCUGGAUCAGGGAGCACAGGACAUAUUAACUCAAAGAGGCCAAAGCAGAAAUCCACCUGGGGAACAAACCAUCACCGAUCUGUCAUCAGAUCUAAGCUAUACAAGAAAGGACUAACUUGACAUCCUGAAUAUGACACAACAUCAAGGUAACCAGUCACUAGCAGGACCAAGGAACAAGAGAUAAGUGAUGACCAAGAUGAAAGAGUGAAAGUAGUGGAAUGUGCUCCCACCAUCCUUAAAUAAGUAAUGAGUGUCCAGCAAAGACUAUAUGCAAAAGAAAGCUGAAGCACCUUACUUUGAAUCAACAUGUACUCCAUUCGUUGGAGCUAGGACAUGCCAAAACUUCCUUGCAACAGCCUAUCAUUGAAGAUGCAGAACCAGCUCUGUUCUCUAAGGAAGAAGGAAAAGUUUGGAAUAUACACAAGGAUGCAAUUAUAAGCUCUGAAGUCAGUUUCCAUAGGAACAAGACAAUGUGAAUUUUCCCCUUAGCAAAACUAUCAAGGCUGAAUUGAUCUGGCCCCCUCCUUCGGGAUGGUCAUGACAGAGAACCCCAGACUCAAAAUGAGUCUAUCCCUGAGGACCAAGUAAGACCCUCAGUCCACUGGGUGAAUUCUCACCCACUUUUCUACCAGAAUAAGAUAUAGGAGUCCUCAGAGCCCACAGCCUUCCCAGUGAGGUCCUGGCUUCACAGAUGCUCACUGGUCAGCAGAGCUGCCAGGACAAACCAAACCCUUUACCCUUACAACACCAAGAUUGUGGAACAGGGGAAAGCCCUAGAACUGUUCAUUUCCUUAUUAUAACAUCCUUCAGGACUUUUGGUCCAAGCUUCAUAAGAAAAUAUUGCCAGGAAUAAUCCAGAAAUGAACUAGAGCCCAGAAGGCAUGACCAGCAGCAAUCUUUCCUGUUAAGAACAGGCCUCCCAUCAGUUUGGGGUAAAAGGUCAGUUAUUCCCAGAAGUGUGACACUGUGUGACUAUGAUGGUUCCAGAAUUCUGUUCAUGUCUCCCAGAUGGGUCCUGGAUGCUCAGAGGAGGUACAAAGUUGCCCAUGAGUACUGUCCCCCACCUCUCUAGAAAUUUAUAUUGCUAUUGAUCAUACCAAAGGCAUUCAGAAGAACCACAGGGGGCAUCCAGGUCCAAUUUUCUAGUAUUUAGGUCUCUGGUUCCUCCCAGGGAAAGUGAACGAACAGCCCCUAAAACCACAUCAUCUGAGAAUACCCAGGCACUGUACCUUUUUAAUUUUUUUAAAUGUUUUUUAGAACCUGUACCAGAAACAGGGAGUCUUGUCUAAAGCAAAGCCUGAGCAUUACAUUUUUUCAUCUUCUGACAUCAAUCCCGGAAACAGGCUUUCCCGAGAAGUAUCAUAAAACAAACCCAGAAAGGUGGUCAGAUCUUCCAGGUUUUAGGAACAGUAGCUUCCUCGACAGAACCAAUGACUCAUGCUUCCUAGAGUCUGAAACCUAGCAGGGUAACAUUGACAGCUUGAAAGGGAUUCCUAAUUCCAGGCCAUGUCUUCAGAUAGAGUCCUAGAUGCCCAGAGCAGAAAGUACUGCUGUUGACCAAGAGGAGCACUGUCCUCAGCCUGAAACAAUUAUGUUGCUGGUGGUGUCAAAAGCUCACCUUAACGGGCAUCUAUCUAACUGCAACCUUCCCACAUUCAAACUGCACUUCCUAUUGUACUUUCCAGCAGGCACACCUUAAUGACACUUCACCAGUCUAAGAACAUCCAUCAGCUUAGCAAAUAGAUUUACAUCAAACCCGUAGUCAACACCCUGUGGACAUUCCCCAUGUAAGUGAGCUAAAAUCUCUUUUAGAGCAUCAGGAAAAUAAAAAGCCUCACUGAAGAGAAUUUGAGAUGGUCCAAUGAAGAUGGUGCAUAAGGUCAUUUAAACAAAGUGUCAGAGGAGGUAAAGGGAUUCCUGGGCUGUGGCCAUUAGGCCCUUAGACUCCUGGCAGGAUGGGGAUCAUAUACUCCCCAAAGACCUACAACAUGGGAAAAACCAAAGCAAAAUAGCCUGAAGUUUUCUCCUUGGCCAGUGUCUAGUACAAACUUAUACUUCAGGUGAGACUCUGCAUGGCACAUAGCUAGCUUCCUUCUGAUUCAGUCCUAAGAGUUCUAAUGAGAGGUCAGCCUCCCAGGUCAGGUUUCACCAGAAUUCAGGUGGUUGAAGAUGAUGAAAUGUGUGAGAACAAGACUUAAACCCUUCCCUACACAAAAAGAGCUUAAAUCACACACAAAUGAGAAUUCAACAGGUCUUGAAGCUCAGACGACAAACGUAUCACUAAGUGAUGACUUCACAUGGUCUUCCCGUCUAAACCAUUACUAAUAUAGUGAAGCUGGUACUAAUAAAAUGCAUUUAUGUAUUGAAAUAUUCACACAGGAUCCUAAAACUAACAUUCUAUUCCAACAUAAUAAAGAGAUAUUGCAGAA